GGGAUUGCCUCAGUAACGGCGAGUGAAGCGGCAACAGCUCAAAUUUGAAAUCUGGGUCCUGGCGGCCCCGAGUUGUAAUUUGUAGAGGAUGUUUCGGGUGCGGUACCGUUCUAAGUUCCUUGGAACAGGGCGUCAUAGAGGGUGAGAAUCCCGUACGUGACCGGUGUCCAACCCCAUGUGAAACUCCUUCGACGAGUCGAGUUGUUUGGGAAUGCAGCUCAAAAUGGGUGGUAAAUUUCAUCUAAAGCUAAAUACUGGCCAGAGACCGAUAGCGCACAAGUAGAGUGAUCGAAAGAUGAAAAGCACUUUGGAAAGAGAGUUAAAAAGUACGUGAAAUUGUUGAAAGGGAAGCGCUUGCAGCCAGACUCGCCCGGGGGUGAUCAACUGUCCUUUUGGGCAGUGCACUUUCCCCCGAUCGGGCCAGCAUCAGUUCGGGCGGCUGGAUAAAAAUUUUAGGAACGUAGCUCCUCUCGGGGAGUGUUAUAGCCUAGAAUAUAAUGCAGCCAGCCUGGACUGAGGACCGCGCUUUUGCUAGGAUGCUGGCAUAAUGGCUGUCAGCGACCCGUCUUGAAACACGGACCAAGGAGUCGACCAACCGUGCGAGUGUUUGGGUGUCAAACCCGUGCGCGUAAUGAAAGUGAACGGAGGUGAGAACCCCUUACGGGGCGCAUCAUCGACCGAUCCUGAUGUCUUCGGAUGGAUUUGAGUAAGAGCACAGCUGGUCGGACCCGAAAGAUGGUGAACUAUGCGUGAAUAGGGUGAAGCCAGAGGAAACUCUGGUGGAGGCUCGCAGCGGUUCUGACGUGCAAAUCGAUCGUCAAAUUUGCGCAUAGGGGCGAAAGACUAAUCGAACCAUUGAACAAAUUAAAAAGUUCCAGUUGACUUAGGUGGUUAUAUAAGGAAUUCAGUAAAAGCUCCUUAGUUUUUAAGGGGGGUUGCUCCCUGGAAAACGACAUCGCUACAUGCAUGGAUGUCUAGUAUCUCCCUGGGGACUGCAAAGUCUUUUGGUGGUGAUGGCUGGGCAAAUAUGCAGCAUUCCCUCCGGGGCAAUGUUCACAGACCAAACAGCGAUGGCCUCUCCCCCGGGGGAUUGGUUUUGAUAUGGCCGAGUUCCUCCCCGAUCAA
rnacentral:rRNA from 1 species